rnacentral:rRNA from 1 species
AUUGAACGCUGGCGGCAGGCCUAACACAUGCAAGUCGAACGAGGGGCGGACGGGUGAGAAAUGUAGGGGGAACUGCACGAUAGAGGGGGAUCACUAAAGGAAAAGGUGGGAAAUACCGGAUACUAUCGGAUGAACCCAUAUGGGAUUAGCUAGUAGGUGGGGUAAAAGCUCACCAAGGCGACGAUCUCUAGCUGGUCUGAGAGGACGAUGCGCCACACUGGGACUGAGACACGGCCCAGACUCCUACGGGAGGCAGCAGUGGGGAAUAUUGCACAAUGGGCGCAAGCCUGAUGCAGCCAUGCCGCGUGUAUGAAGAAGGCCUUCGGGUUGUAAAGUACUUUCAGCAGGGAAGCGUUACCCGCAGAAGAAGCACCGGCUAACUCCGUGCCAGCAGCCGCGGUAAUAC